rnacentral:rRNA from 1 species
AUUGAACGCUGGCGGCAGGCAUAACACAUGCAAGUCGAACGAGUGGCGGACUGGUGAGUAAUGUGUGGGAAACUGCCUUAUGGAGGGGGAUAACUACUGGAAACAGUAGCUAAUAACGCAUACCCUCAGAUGUGACCAAAUUGGAUUAGGUUGUUGGUGGGGUAAAGGCCCACAAAGGCGACCAUCCCUAGCUGGGCUGAGAGGAUUACCAGCCACACCGGAACGGAGACACGGCCCAGACUCCUACGUGAGGCAGCAGUGGGGAAGAGUGCGCAAUGGGGGCAAGCCUGAUUCAGCCAUGCCGCGGGAAUGAAGAAGGCCUUCGGGUUGUAAAGUACUUUCAGCGUGGAGGCGUUACAUGCAGAAGAAGCACCGGCUAACUCCGUGCCAGCAGCCGCGGUAAUAC